AAGAAAUUGACUCCAAGUAUUAUCUUUAAGUUCUAAAGAAUAAGCUUUCAAUUCUUCUGAUGCACAGUUAAUUAGCCAUGAUGAUUCUGAGAAAAAUGAAAAGGAAAAAUGUCAACUUCUGAAGAUUAUAACACUCCAUUUUUUGCUUCAGGAAACAGUUUGGAUUAGCCCAGAAGUAAAUGCUAAAAUAAUAAUAAUAUAUUUUGCUUAGCAAUAGGAAUAAAAUAAAAAGGAUAAUGCGGGGGGCGGGGGGGAAUUUCUUUAUAAGGCAUGAGUCACCUGAACUCUUUCUCCAAGCUUCCGGACUUCAGAACCUAAGCAUCAUCUUCUGCUGCCUACUUCUAGAAGACACUAAGACAUUAAAAUGAAGGUUCUCAUUUUGAUUGCUGUCAUCUUGACUUUCACUGCUUGUUUUUCGUCAGCUGAUGCACAUAAGCAAAAAAACUCCAGGUCUAGUGAAAGCUCCGAAGAAUAUUUUAAACUACCUAAACAGUUAAGGUCUAAGCUGUCAAGAAGAUAUUCUGCAAAAUUCCAACGAGCUCCUGGAAGUCCAUGUGGUCACUCUGUUCGUCAUGAACCCCCCAGAGGCCACCAUCUCCUCCACCUCCCUCACCAUCCUCACAUCCCACAUGAACCGUCACCCAGACCUACAUUGCCACCUGAGAACACUGUCUAUCCUAGUUCUCAAGCACCAUCAGCCCCUUUUAGGGCUCCUCCAACCAUAAUUUACACCACUGCCACUGUGCUGCCACCACCACUGCUUUCACUGUCUCUGCCCAAAACACUGAGAGUGUUGCAUCCAGCACUAACAGCUUCCAGUGCCCUCCAACCUGAGGACAUCACCAAUGCCCUUGAAGCUGACACUACUACCCCUGCCCCAGUAGCUGACACUACUACCCCUGCCCCAGUAGCUGACACUACUGCUGUCUAUCAGCAACAAGAGCCUCAGUGA
rnacentral:lncRNA from 1 species